rnacentral:lncRNA from 1 species
AUGUUCCCGUUUCACACCGCACGGAACCGACCACGCGUGCAGACGCGCGGCGGAGCUCCCCGGUGCGGAUGGCGGCCGUGCAGCCCCCGCCCUUGGCACCCGCGGGGCACGGCGAGGCGCAGGGGCAGCGCCCGCUCCCGAGCCGGCCCUGAAUGCCGCCCUUGUUCGCACCGCGCGCGCUCCUCACCGUGCAGCGGCGGGAGGCUGGAGAGGGGGGGAAAAGCAAAAAGCGACAGAGCGCCGCGCGCGCUACUGCCGCCGCCGGGCGGGGGCUGCGGGGGGCGCGCGCCGCAUUCCGAUGCGGUGAGGCACGCGGCCCCCGCCCCAGGGCCGAGAGGAGAUGGCGCUGCGCCGCUCCCGCCCCCCGCGGGCGCGCGGCCGGAGCCGUUACUCAGCGGCCCGCGAGCGGCGGGCGCCGAGGCGAGAGGUAGGGCCGUGACCGGCGCCGCGCGGGGGCACGUCCCGGCCGCGGGGACGCGCUCUGCGGGGCGCUCGGUGCUCGCCGAGAAGCGCGAUGCCGCUGCUCCGCGGUGCCCGCGGGGCUGCCCCGGGCGGGAGGAGGCGAUGCACGGACGCCGCUCGCGCUCCGUCGCGGCGGGAGGCGCGGGGGAGUCCCCGCUGAGCCUCCCCCUCCCCGGAGAUCCCGCCCGCGCUGCCCCGAGCGUCUUCUUCCUCGCUCCGUCCCUCCUCCCCCGGCCCGGCGGGGCGGUCCGCGCCCGCAGCCCCCGCCCCCGUCCCGCCGCGGUAGGCGCUCGGCUCGCUCCGCCGCCCCGGGCAGCGGCGGGGGCGGCCCCGUCCGGCAGAGCGCUGCGCCGCAGAGCCCCGCUGGAGUCCCCGGCGGUCCCGGGAGGAAGAGGAUGCCGGGGUUGUGCUGAGAGGGUGUGUUUCUGUGACCCAUGCCUCAGUGGACAUACCCUUGUGUUCCUGCAGAAGCUGUGUACAGAGAAGGGAUCAGAUCUGACGUGGCUGACCACACAUCCAACAAGCGUGUCACUUAGCAGCACGGCUCCCGUUCUCCCCACAGGACUGUCAGUGAGCCGGUAUCCAGCCCAGCAGCUCUGUCUUGCCUUCCCCCCGCUGUACAGAGACUGCAGCAUUUCUGAAAAAGCAGAAUUAUCGUAACUUAUUGAGACAGGAAAAGUGGACGGCUUUUUCUUUCCUAGGUGGUAAAACUGCUCUGUCUGUAUACCUGACUCAUACCUAAAAGUGUUUUCCCACAUGUAAUUUUUAAAGUAUCGGCUCUUCUAUACCAUGUCUUAGAAACCUGCAAUCCUUCCUGUGUUUCAGGUGCCUGGCUUAUGGGAUAUGCCUCUGUUACAGCUAAAGUUAUAGAAAAGUUAGUAUAAAGAAGUUACAAUUCAAUUAAUUAAUAAGUUUUAAAAAUGCCAGCUGCAUGUAUAGUUAUUUCCUCAUAUUUGAAAUGCCAUAGAAUCAUAGAUUCAUAGAAUCAUAGAAUGGUUUGGGUUGAAAAGUUUCCUAAUUUUAUUCUAAGUCAACAUUAUGACUUUUGCAAUUCUUCUAAGCGAGAGUAAACCUUGAGUCUGUGUUACGUCUGUCAAGGUAUUUCUGGUUAGAUUCUUCCUGCCUCUAUUGGAAAUUGUAUUAGUUCAGCCCAAACCCAUGCCAGCAUCCAACAUUAGAUGCUGCUGUUUUUAUUGCAUUACUUAUUCCAUGCUGGCAGAAAUACGAUGUGUAUAAAAAGUUUUUGCUAUCCAAUUGCCUUUUGACGCCCUAUUAAAACAGAUUUCAGAGAUAGUGUUGCAAGAUCCUACUGCAGGGUUGAACUAGCAGUUUGAAACAAAAAUGUUCAUUGAUUUUUAUUUUAUUUAUUUAUUUAAUUUAAGACGCAGGAAGUUGGAGAAGGAUCCAUUUUACUUGAGACAAACUUCCUCCUUGAUGCUUAUCCAGAAAACAUUUAUAGAUGAAGAUGUAGAGUUUGAACUUGGUUGGGAACCCAGUUGAACCCAGAGCGUACUGCUCAACUGAUUCCAUUCUCAUCUAGCUUUCCUGAAACCAAAUGUAAGUUGAGUAUAUCCGUAUAAUCCUGGUACCAGAAUGUUGUGAUCAUUAAAAAUUGAGAUUUAGUGGCUAAUUUUGCUAUGCAGCAACAGUAUCAAGUUAA